UCUGUUGCUGGCAUUGAAGCUGCAGGGAUGGCAUCCGGCCAGAAGGUGGCGCUGUGGAUGGUAAGUUCGUAAGUUCGAGC